CUUUUACUUUUAUACUCGUUUUUUUUUAGUUUUCCCAUUAUACCCUUGACUGAUAUCAAGCACACUCAUGGCUCCUUGUCUCCUCAAACACACCCACGAUGAGGUUUGAGUUCUAAACUCACAAUUUAUUGUUUACCACCCUAGCUAGCUACGCGAUCGUCUUUGGCUGUAUGACGCACCCGAACACAUGUACGACGCAGCCAGGCACAGGCAGAACACAACUGUAACUCGUCAUCUUCUUCACCAUGAGUUAACCGAUCACACGACAUUACUUCACCCUCCGACGUCCCGAGCCACCACCGGUGCUGCUGCUGCUAACGUUGAGCCACUUCCAGAUCCAUUAUAUUUUGAACAAUAUAAAGCUUUGGUUGUAGUUAGGAAUUUAUGGUUUUAGGCAAUAGCUGCUUUCAGGUCUUUUGUUCAAUCAGAAAUGACUCAUGAGAGAUGAGGAGCACGAGUAACGAACAAGAAGAAGAGUUUGAAUCGUGGAUCUCAGUGAGUAUGGAGAAGAAGCAAUAUUUGCAUUUUUGUAAUUACAUCACGAUAAUAUAUGCAUAUGAUUAAGAAUGAUGUGCCUCUUUCUUUUUUCUUCUUCCUCAUUUUGGUUUAUUUAGAACAUUAGGAACUUGCUGUGUAACUUAUAUUUAUUAGCUUAGGCUAAUCUUUAGACUUUGUCCGAUCAUUCUUUUUUCUUCA